UAGAGUUUUGAUCCUGGCUCAGGACGAACGCUGGCGGCGUGCUUAACACAUGCAAGUCGAGCGGAAAGGCCCUUCGGGGUACUCGAGCGGCGAACGGGUGAGUAACACGUGAGCAACCUGCCCCAGGCUUUGGGAUAACCCCGGGAAACCGGGGCUAAUACCGAAUAUGACCUCUGACCGCAUGGUUGGUGGUGGAAAGUUUUUCGGCUUGGGAUGGGCUCGCGGCCUAUCAGCUUGUUGGUGGGGUGAUGGCCUACCAAGGCGACGACGGGUAGCCGGCCUGAGAGGGCGACCGGCCACACUGGGACUGAGACACGGCCCAGACUCCUACGGGAGGCAGCAGUGGGGAAUAUUGCACAAUGGGCGGAAGCCUGAUGCAGCGACGCCGCGUGAGGGAUGACGGCCUUCGGGUUGUAAACCUCUUUCAGCAGGGACGAAGCGUAAGUGACGGUACCUGCAGAAGAAGCGCCGGCCAACUACGUGCCAGCAGCCGCGGUAAGACGUAGGGCGCGAGCGUUGUCCGGAUUUAUUGGGCGUAAAGAGCUCGUAGGCGGCUUGUCGCGUCGACCGUGAAAACUUGGGGCUCAACCCCAAGCCUGCGGUCGAUACGGGCAGGCUAGAGUUCGGUAGGGGAGACUGGAAUUCCUGGUGUAGCGGUGAAAUGCGCAGAUAUCAGGAGGAACACCGGUGGCGAAGGGUG
rnacentral:rRNA from 1 species